rnacentral:rRNA from 1 species
UACCAGCACCCCGAGUGGUCGGGACGAUUAUUGGGCCUAAAGCAUCCGUAGCCGGUCCUACAAGUCUUCCGUUAAAUCCACCUGCUUAACAGAUGGACUGCGGAAGAUACUAUAGGGCUAGGAGGCGGGAGAGGCAAGCGGUACUCAGUGGGUAGGGGUAAAAUCCUCUGAUCCAUUGAAGACCACCAGUGGCGAAGGCGGCUUGCCAGAACGCGCUCGACGGUGAGGGAUGAAAGCUGGGGGAGCAAACCGG